UUGAAAUUACCCCGAUUUUUGGCGGGCUUCUUUCAUCAGUUGGUUUUCGCGCUUAACUCGGUGUUCCCGCCCGCGCUCUGUUCCUGAAUAAGAACAACACCAAAUAUGUUCGCCCCAGAUAGAGAACUGAAACGAGGCGCACGGCGUGACCCCCUUUCGCCGUCCUGCUCUGGGCUCCGACCUAGAACUCUUUCCCUUUCUUUGUCUCAAAAAGCAUCUCAUUCAGACGAAGCCCUUUGUAGACUACUCGASCACAACCAGACAAGACUUCUCACACAGCAAGUGGUCCCUGCUACGGUGAGGGAAGAAGUAGGCACGAUAACUUGACCGUGAAGGGCUCGAGCGCCAUGUGACAUCCAGGCCAGAAAUGUCGACUCAAUUGGGAUUUCAUCAUCUCCGUUGAGAAAGGGAGCCGGCCUAUCACCCGUGGACCACUAAAAUCAGCACCUCUUGGURCUUCCUCUCUCGUGUUCAGCGCAAGGGCCUUCCUGACUGUGUGACAGAGGGAGUCCUGAGUGACGCCAUGAAUGACGCUACGAUGCCUUACUGCCCCCCCCCC